ACCCAAGUGGAAAAAUCCCAUCGGGUGACGCUCAAUUUAAACAUGAAACAUUUUUGUGGCAAUGAAACUAACAAUAACAUGAAGUAAGAGAGAGUCUUGUCGUAACUCUAUUUUCAUUGUUUGUUGUGAGUAGUGACGCAUCAAACCGCCACCUCAUCCGUCUGCGGUCGGGAGUACGCUUCCGCUGAAGCAAGCAAUCCGCGCAUCCGGCUAAGACAAUAUAGGCCGAUCUUCCGAUCAAUCCAACUGAGACCUAUAUGUAUGUGAUACGCCAAGUGCGCCUCCUUUUUUAGUCCCCUCAAUCACCGAAAAUAUUUUCAGCGCCAUUAUAAUCUUCUCUUUAUUAUACCCAAAUUUACCUUACAGUGUGUGAUGGCCAACGGAAUAAUAAUUUGUCUUCUUGGCUUUUCCGUACUGAAAUGACGUUGCAACUUGCAAGUCAAAGAUGAGGUAAGAAACGGUAAAGUUUUGAGCACGCCCUUGUGGAUAUCAACCAGCAAAGGAGUUUUGCCGUGGUGUUAUGGACCGACUCGUCAAAGACAUUGCCACCCCUAGUACCGCUAAAGUUUUCGGGGAAUAUCGAUCUAAUAGUACGACGGUGAGCAAUCCUUGCCUCAACAGCCCAUGCACUCCCUUGUGUGUCCUUAUUCCGGGCGGAUAUCCUUUCACCUGCCCCGACAGCACGAUCCUGAUUCAAUCUGGUGAAGAACUGUCGUGGAACGUGACUGAGGAACGACCUCAACCGUCUCCUUUUGCGCUGCCCUUGCCAGAAUCUUGGGGUCUGCACCGGCGACGGCCAAGUCCAUUGCCAGUGCCCCAACGAUUAUUACGAAGGCGCCCAUUGCGAGACCCACUUGUUGCGCCGUAGUUAACAACAAUCACGAGUUGUACCAGUCGAUUAUGAAAUCGCUUGGUACAACAGCAAACUAUUGAGGGUUUAACUUUGGUCGUUUUCAUCAAAUGUUUUGCAACUGAUUUAUUUUCUUACGUGUUUUUAAAUUUUGUUUUUCUAAAUAAACGAGUAUAAUCCUUUUCUAUGUUUUAUUUGAUUUGAUUUUUUUAUUUUCGAUUUUUUUAAAUUGUUUCAACUAUAUCGAUAUCUUACCCAUAGCUGAUUGCAAAAUGGCGUCGUCUGCUCAGUUUUGAAACGUGGCUGGCGAUAGCUGCACGAAAAAUGUGUCUCAUUAUAGAUUCUCUUAAAAUAGUUAUUAUUUGAUACGUGCUCCAUGUUGUUUAUAGCAGGCAAAUAAAAUCAAGGAUGCAUAUAGAAUGAUUGUGGAAUCUUUGUGGAAACCCUUUUCUAAAUUCUGAGAAAUGCUAGUUCCCGACUAAAAUAGGCCUAGCAUUAAUCACGCCAGAGCCAGCCAUCACAACAAUGAGAUGCAAGAAUUUAAUGUGCUGGUGUUAACCUGGCGGCAGGAAUCUCAUUGUUCGGGUUAACAGCAUCCUCUUGUAUUGGAGAAACUACCAAUGUUGCUUGAGUUGCUGAUAUCUUCUCCCAUUUUCAUAAAAUGUUCUCGUGUGCCCCUGUAGUGGGUGUACACAACACAUGAGGACCCCCUUUUUCCUCUAUCCCGCCUGGUGUCUGGUCAAUUUUUCAGCAGAUGGAUGCCUGGCUGUAUAUCCCAAGUCUAAAGGGAGCAACGACAUUUUUGGUGACUGCCAGUCUGCCGAAAAUCGUCAAUCUGAUGCCAUUGCGGGUGAAGAUGAAGAAGGCGCAACAGCCGAAAAUUUGCCCGAUCCUGUUAUGUAAACGCCAGUUCAAAAGCUGCGACUGAAAUCUCGCGUGACCAACAGUUUUUACCCGUCGAGCCACCUAUCCGUCAAUUAUUUGAUUGACCGCCCAACAUCCACUGCCCAUCCACAUCACCUCACCACUUCCGCCACUGGACGCCAAGCGGGAAAAGGAAUUUAAACUAUAAGCUGAUGACAUUCAUAUCAUGGAUUUUUCGCGAGUGACAGCUGGGAGUGAGCCAGCAAGAUUUUUGGCAUAACUCGACCGAAUGAUCAGAAUUGGCAAAGAAACUGGCCUUCUUUCCCUUUUCGUUGGAACGAUUGACGAAGCUGAAGGAUCUAUCACUAGGUGGCUAAAAAGAUGUAAGUGUUUUCUUUUUAGAUUUCGCCAUAUUUUUGAGGCUUGAGUGGGCUUGUGAGACAGAGUGGAAAAGGUAUCGUUAAAUUCAUUAGGGUUAGGCUGUACUGAUAAAGGUGUACUUUUGGACUUACUUUUCGUUAUAAUAAAGUAAUUCCAGCUUCGAUUCUGUAUAAAGGAAUACUUAAAAACUUAAAAUAGGACCAACAGCCUGGUGAAGUCUGAGCUUCAUUGUUGCAGUCUGAUGUGCACAUUGAUUUGUUGCUGCCAGCUGUUGAUUGGUGUGGCGAGCCGUUGCAUGCAGACCGCUGGUGUGUUGAGCUGCUGCAAAUCAUGUAAGAAUGUCAAUGUUGAAUAUAUCCAACGUCAACUCGGCUACUUAUCUCCCUAUCUAUCUUGGGCUUAGAGACUAACCGAGAUGAUUUGCUGCGAUUGAAAAAAGUAUGAUGUAAAUGUAGGCAAGUACAUAAUCUGGGCCUCCUUCCCUUAACUAACCAACAUCCGUCGGAGAAUUGAACCUUGGUCAAAUGAAGAAAGGGAAAUAGAAAUAUGAAAAUAAUGAUAGAAAAAAAUGAUUUGAGUGUAGAAAACAUAAUUAAGUUGCAUUUAUAUUAUAUUAUUACCAAAUAUGUAAAUGCAAUAACUCCAGAAUAUCUAACUAAUUGUUCAAACAAUGUAACCAACAUCUUUAUGAUUGUUGUUUGUUACCAUAAAUUUAAGUCUAUAACAUACAUAAAAAAUCAAAUAUACAGAACGAACACAA
rnacentral:lncRNA from 1 species